UCCCGUUUGGCUCAGACAGUAAAGAAUCUGCCUGCAAUUCAGGAGACUUAGGUUUGAUUCCUGGAUUGGGAA
rnacentral:tRNA from 1 species